GUUAAUGAUGACUUACCACAUUUAUCACGACGGUCUACUGUGUAUCGGGACUGUUAAUCCCUUUACUUUGAUGAUAGAUUAGGCCUUGACCGGCCGUGGCCCUGAAU
rnacentral:snoRNA from 1 species